rnacentral:rRNA from 1 species
UUGAACGCUGGCGGCAUGCCUUACACAUGCAAGUCGAACGGUAGAGGGGCAACCCUUGAGAGUGGCGAACGGGUGAGUAAUGCAUCGGAACGUGCCCAGUCGUGGGGGAUAACGCAGCGAAAGCUGUGCUAAUACCGCAUGUGAUCAGUGGAUGAAAGCAGGGGACCGCAAGGCCUUGUGCGAUUGGAGCGGCCGAUGUCAGAUUAGCUAGUUGGUAGGGUAAAAGCCUACCAAGGCGACGAUCUGUAGCUG